rnacentral:misc_RNA from 1 species
GAUGAAGAACGCAGCGAAAUGCGAUAAGUAAUGCGAAUUGCAGAAUUUCCGUGAGUCAUCGAAUCUUUGAACGCACAUUGCGCCCACUGGUAUUCCGGUGGGCAUGCCUGUUCGAGCGUCAUUAUCCUCCCUCAAACCUCGGGUUUGGUGUUGGACCCAAGUUGUGUGAACAACUGGUCUCAAAGACAAUGACGGCGUCCGUGGGACCCUCGGUGCAACGAGCCUUUAAACGAGCACGCGUCGAGUUUCAAGGACCUUCCGGGCCGGUCUCCUUCUUUUAUUUACAAAGGUUGACCUCGGAUCAGGUAGGAAUACCCGCUGAACUUAAGCAUAUCAAUAAGCGGAGGA